CCUACGGGUGGCAGCAGUGAGGAAUAUUGGUCAAUGGCCGCAAGGCUGAACCAGCCAAGUCGCGUGAGGGAUGACGGUCCUAUGGAUUGUAAACCUCGUUUGUCAGUGAGCAAAGGUCGCCACGUGUGGCGUUUUGCGAGUACCUGAAGAAAAAGCAUCGGCUAACUCCGUGUCAGCAGCCGCGGUAAUACGGAGGAUGCGAGCGUUAUCAGGAUUUAGUUGGUUUAAAGGGUGCGCGGGCGGAAUGUAAAGUCAGCGGUAAAAUGUCGGGGCUCAACCCCGUCGUGCGGUUGAAACUGGCGUUCUUGAGUGAGAGAGAAGCAGGCGGAAUGCGUGGUGUAGCGGGGAAAUGCAUAGAUAUCAAGCAGAACUCCGAUUGCGAAGGCAGCAUGCAGGAGCUCCACUGACGUUGAUGCACGAAAGCGUGGGUAUCGAACAGGAUUAGAUACACGUGUAGUC
rnacentral:rRNA from 1 species